rnacentral:piRNA from 1 species
UAAAAACAGGAAACACUGGGGGCAUGAUU